UACGAAGGGGGCUAGCGUUGCUCGGAAUCACUGGGCGUAAAGGGUGCGUAGGCGGGUCUUUAAGUCAGGGGUGAAAUCCUGGAGCUCAACUCCAGAACUGCCUUUGAUACUGAGAAGCUUGAGUCCGGGAGAGGUGAGUGGAACUGCGAGUGUAGAGGUGAAAUUCGUAGAUAUCGAGAGGAACACCGGUGGCGAAGGCGGCCAACUGGACGAAGACUGACGCUGAGACACGAAAGCGUGGGGAGCAAACAGG
rnacentral:rRNA from 1 species